GAUCUAAGGCGUCGAGUUGCAGAGACGCCGCGAAUCGUAAAGCUUGCAGAGACGCCGAGUUGCAGAGACGCCGAGUUUCAAGUUGAAACCCAGUGAGAGCUAUCGUCGGAGGGAGACUCAGAGUCCUCAAACGUCCGCCAUGCCUACCGUCGGCGUCGGCCUGGAUCUGAGGCGCCGAGUUGCAGAGACGCCGCGGAUCGUAAAGCUUGCAGAGACGCCGAGUUGCAGAGGCGCCGAGUUGCAGAGACGCCGAGUUUCAAGUUGAAACCCAGAAGUAAAAACGCCAUCAUCGCGGAUUGAAGAAAAAAAUGGGAAAAUUGGAUCGUAAAGCUUGAAACCCAGAAGUAAAAACGCUGCAGAUUGAAGCAAUCGAAGGGGUUUUGUGUGAAGGAAGAAAUAAAGCGCGGAGGAAAGCACAGGGGAGAGGGGAAGCUCGAACCCGUGUGGGAGAUCUGUGUGUGUGGGAGAAUGGAGAAGGGGGAGAAGGGAGCUCAGAGAAGAAGAGAGAAGGAUAGAGAGAGAGAGA
rnacentral:lncRNA from 1 species